CCGAGUUUACAACUCCCAAACCCCUGUGAACAUACCACUUGUUGCCUCGGCGGAUCAGCCCGCUCCCGGUAAAACGGGAUGGCCCGCCAGAGGACCCCUAAACUCUGUUUCUAUAUGUAACUUCUGAGUAAAACCAUAAAUAAAUCA
rnacentral:misc_RNA from 1 species